CCUACGGGUGGCUGCAGUGGGGAAUAUUGGACAAUGGGCGAAAGCCUGAUCCAGCCAUGCCGCGUGUGUGAAGAAGGCCUUCGGGUUGUAAAGCACUUUCAGUGGGGAAGAAAGCCUUGGGGCUAAUACCCUCGAGGAAGGACAUCACCCACAGAAGAAGCACCGGCUAACUCCGUGCCAGCAGCCGCGGUAAUACGGAGGGUGCGAGCGUUAAUCGGAAUUACUGGGCGUAAAGCGCGCGUAGGCGGUCUUAUAAGCCGGUUGUGAAAGCCCCGGGCUCAACCUGGGAACGGCAUCCGGAACUGUCAGGCUAGAGUGCAGGAGAGGAAGGUAGAAUUCCCGGUGUAGCGGUGAAAUGCGUAGAGAUCGGGAGGAAUACCAGUGGCGAAGGCGGCCUUCUGGACUGACACUGACGCUGAGGUGCGAAAGCGUGGGUAGCAAACAGGAUUAGAUACCCCGGUAGUC
rnacentral:rRNA from 1 species